UACGAAGGGGGCUAGCGUUGCUCGGAAUCACUGGGCGUAAAGGGUGCGUAGGCGGGUCUUUAAGUCAGGGGUGAAAUCCUGGAGCUCAACUCCAGAACUGCCUUUGAUACUGGCGAUCUCGAGUCCGGGAGAGGUGAGUGGAACUGCGAGUGUAGAGGUGAAAUUCGUAGAUAUUCGCAAGAACACCAGUGGCGAAGGCGGCCAACUGGUCCGGUACUGACGCUGAGGUGCGAAAGCGUGGGGAGCAAACAGG
rnacentral:rRNA from 1 species